rnacentral:tRNA from 1 species
AAAGUGGUAGCUUAAUUUGGAAUAAGCAAUAAUACUGCACACAUUAGAGAUAUCAGUUCAAAUCUGAUCCACUUUC